rnacentral:rRNA from 13 species
CAGACUCCUACGGGAGGCAGCAGUGGGGAAUAUUGGACAAUGGGCGCAAGCCUGAUCCAGCCAUGCCGCGUGAGUGAUGAAGGCCCUAGGGUUGUAAAGCUCUUUCAGCGAGGAGGAUAAUGACGUUACUCGCAGAAGAAGCCCCGGCUAACUUCGUGCCAGCAGCCGCGGUAAUACGAAGGGGGCUAGCGUUGUUCGGAAUUACUGGGCGUAAAGCGCACGUAGGCGGAUAUUUAAGUCAGGGGUGAAAUCCCGCAGCCCAACU